rnacentral:rRNA from 1 species
UUUAACACCUAGCCCUAAUACUACACACAAUAACACAUCUAUUUAGUAACCAAAACAUUUGACCAAAUAAGUAUAUGAGAUAGAAAUUUAUCCGCAGGAGCACUUUUACCGCAAGGGAAUGAAGAAAGAAUAAUAAAACUGCAAAGAAGUAAAGCAGAGAUUAUAUCACGUACCUAUUGCAUCAUGGUUUAACAAGACCCAACAGACAGAAAGACCUCAAGCCUGUAUACCCGAAAUCAAGUGAGCUACCCCUGACCAACUUUUAAGAGUCAACCCGUCACUGUAGCAAAAGUGUGGGAAGAGUUUGAGGUAGAGGUGAAAAGCCAAACGAACUUGACGAUAGCUGGUUGUCCAAUAAAUGAAUAAAGUUCAACCUUAAACACUAAUGUCACUAUUUAGACUCCUAACAGUUUAAGAUUUAGUCAUUGGGGGCACAGCCCCUAUGACCAAGGAUACAACCUUAUCUAGUGACUUACCACCCCUACAUCACAAAGUAGGCCCCAAAGCAGCCAACAAUAAACCAAUGCGUUACAGCAACUAGCAAAUAAUACAACAACCCUACAACACUCCUAAAUCAAACCGGACUACUCUAUAUCAUAGAGAAACCACUGUUAAAACUAGUAAUAAGAUUAAUACUCUACCACGCAAGCAGACAUAACAGACACCACAAUGACACAGGACAACCACUUUAAUUAAACCCAAUAAAAACUGUUAGCCCAACCCCGGUGCGUAAAUAGAAGAUUAUAAACUACAAAAGGAACUCGGCAAUAUAAAUCUCAACUGUUUACCAAAAACAUAGCCUUUAGCAUAACAAGUAUUAAAGGUGCCGCCUGCCCAGUGAACAUUUAACGGCCGCGGGAUCCUCCACCGUGCAAAGGUAGCAUAAUCACUUGUCUCCUAAAUAGAGACUAGUAUGAACGGCUAAAUGAAGAUUUACCUGUCUCUUGUAGUUAAUCUAUUAAACUGAUCUUUCAGUACAAAAGCUGAAAUAACAACACAAGACGAAAAGACCCUGUGGAACUUUAAGCCAGAAUUAAUGCAUGAUUUACCGCUUUUAGUUGGGGCAACUUUGGAAAAAAAUAAAACUUCCAAUACACACCACAGGCAGACAUACCUACCCGCUUCACCACAGACCCAGUAUAACUGAUCAAAGAACCAAGCUACCCCAGGGAUAACAGCGCUAUCCCCUCCUAGAGCCCCCAUCGACGAGCGGGGUUUACGACCUCGAUGUUGGAUCAGGGCACCCAAGCAGUGCAGCAGCUGCUAAAGGUUUGUUUGUUCAACAAUUAAUGCCCUACGCGAUCUGAGUUAAGACCGGAGCAAUCCAGGUCGGUUUCUAUCUGUGAUACUGCCUUCUACAGUACGAAAGGACCUAGAAGACCAAGUCAAUGCUAUAAGCACACUUGACCGAACAAAACUGAUAAACCACUAAAUUUAAACGGCACACCUAAGUAAGCCCGACACAAGGGCAUU